CUGUAUGAAUUAUUAUGUGUGUGUUCAGAGUGCCCUUCUGUUUCUGUCUUUUACUCCGAUCAGAACAGCUAAAUGGUUUUCUUCUUCCUUGCCUCUCCUUUUGUUGCCCUGAGUUGCUCAUGUGACCCGAUGCUUUUCGACAUUUAGAGCCAUUAAACUGAUUCUCAUCAGUGUUGUUUGAAUGAAU